UGGGGAAUAUUGCGCAAUGGGCGAAAGCCUGACGCAGCAACGCCGCGUGAGUGAUGAAGGCCUUCGGGUCGUAAAGCUCUGUCGGAGGGAACGAAUGCUCCUGAAGUUAACAGCUUCAGGAAGUGACGGUACCCUCAAAGGAAGCACCGGCUAACUCUGUGCCAGCAGCCGCGGUAAUACAGAGGGUGCAAGCGUUGUUCGGAAUCAUUGGGCGUAAAGGGCGUGUAGGCGGUUAUAUUAGUCUGAUGUAAAAGACCCGGGCUUAACCUGGGAUAUGCAUUGGAAACGGUAUAGCUAGAGUAUGGGAGAGGGAAGUGGAAUUUCCGGUGUAGCGGUGAAAUGCGUAGAGAUCGGAAAGAACACUCGUGGCGAAGGCGGCUUUCUGGCCCAUAACUGACGCUGAGGUGCGAAAGCAUGGGGAGCAAACAGGAUUAGAUACCCUUGUAGUCCCUGAGCGGGCUGGCAAGGCGCAU
rnacentral:rRNA from 1 species